GUCUGGAAACGGAUGAUAAUACCGGAUACGUCCUGUAGCGGAGACGCUAUAGGAGAAAGGCUUGCUGCUUCGAGAGCAGCCCACGUCGGAUUAGGUAGUUGGUGGGGUAAAGGCCUACCAAGCCUAUGAUCUGUAGCUGAUUUGAGAGGAUGAUCAGCCACACUGGGACUGAGAACGGCCCAGACUCCUACGGGAGGCAGCAGUGGGGAAUAUUGGACAAUGGGGGAAACCCUGAUCCAGCGAUGUCACGUGUGUGACGAAGGCCUUCGGGUUGUAAAGCACUUUUAUUAGGGAAGAUAAUGACGGUACCUAAAGAAAAAGCUCCGGCAAACUUCGUGCCAGCAGCCGCGGUAAUACGAAGGGAGCUAGCGUUGUUCGGAAUUACUGGGCGUAAAGGGCGUGUAGGCGGUUAUGUAAGUUAGAUGUGAAAGCCCUGGCUUAACCCAGGAACGGCAUUUAAUACUGCGUGACUAGAGUUCGAGAGGGGAAAGCGGAAUAGCGUGUGGAGCAGUGAAAUGCGUUGAUAUACGUUAGAACACCGGGGGCGAAGGCGGCUUUCUGGCUCGUAACUGACGCUGAGGCGCGAAAGCGUGGGGAGCAAACAGAAUUAGAUACCCUGGUAGUCCACGCUGUAAACGAUGAGUGCUAGAUGUUGGAUGGGUAUCCAUUCUGUGUCGCAGCUAACGCAAUAAGCACUCCGCCUGGGGAGUACGGUCGCAAGAUUAAAACUUAAAGGAAUUGACGGGGACCCGCACAAGCGGUGGAGCAUGUGGUUUAAUUCGAAGCUACGCGAAAAACCUUACCAGCUCUUGACAUAAAGGUUAUACGGAUAAGAAACUAUCUGGUCAUUUAGUUGGACCUUUACAGGUGCUGCAUGGCUGUCGUCAGUUCGUGUCGUGAGAUGUUGGGUUAUUCCCGCAACGAACGCAACCCCUUUUGCUAGUUGCCAACAGGUAAUGCUGGGAACUUUAGCGAUACCGCCGGUGAUAAACCGGAGGAAGGUGGGGAUGAUGUCAAGUCAUCAUGGCCCUUAUGGGCUGGGCUACACACGUGCUACAAUGGUGGUGACAAAGCGCAAGCAAAACAGCAAUGUGGAGCAAAUCGCAAAAAGCCGUCUCAGUUCAGAUUGUCCUCUGCAACUCGAGGGCAUGAAGUUGGAAUCGCUAGUAAUCGUAGAUCAGCACGCUACGGUGAAUACGUUCUCGGGUCUUGUACACACUGCCCGUCAUACCAUGGGAGUUGGUCUUAUCUUAAGGCGGUGAGCUGACCCGCAAGGGAGGCAGCCGACCACGGUAAGGUCGAUGACUGGGGUGAAGUCGUAACAAGGUA
rnacentral:rRNA from 1 species